GAACCAUAUACAUCUGUAAAUGCAACUCCUUCGUUGUUCGAUGAUCGUUUUAUUGAUGUUCAUUCGUUACUGUGGAGGUGCAAGAGAACGAGGACGACAUAUAAAAAAGGUUCCUCUGUACGAUGCCGUGAUGUCAUGUUAGUUACCUGUUUACCCGGAACUGAGUAGUUACCAUAGUUCAGGAAAUGUGAAACUUAAUCAGAUUCAGAGAGAUUAUGUUGCUUCGUAAGACGACGGUCAUGACGUUGGUCAUCACACGUGGAGUUGCACGCGACGGGGUAUUACCAUCACGUGUUUGAAAGUGAACUUGACGAUCACGGGGUAUUACCAUCACGGGGUAUUGCCAUCACCGUAACUUGUACUUGAGUAUGACGAUCCUUGCUUACUCGCUUUACAUCACACUUCUAAAGAUGUCGAUGGGACAUAAUAUAUAUAACAGGACCCGUGGUCGAACUUCAACGUUUCGUCUGUUCAUCUUCACUCUACUCGAGGUCCGUGGGUGUCGAAGUGAAGUAGGACGACGACGAGUGUAUGAUGGCGGGGUGGAUGUUGCGUCGGUUUCCGUCGUUACCCUAAUGUCAGGUCACGGAGGGACUAGUCCGAAACAGAGAUGAAGUCGACUUCGUGAGGAAGGUGUUGGGGCUGGAGAGGAGCACCGUCGUACCAUGCCUGACAACGGUGACCCUCCCACAACCGACGCUGUCCCGGAGACCAGUCCACUAGUGAAACCUGGAUUCAAUAGCAUCGGACGUCUCGUGGCCACCAGAGUCGAGUCGCGAUAAGUUGGAGUGGAGAGAAUCUUCGGAUUCGGAGAGACCAUUGCUGAAGUUGGUACGGUCGGAAGGAUCAAAGCCCAAACUCGCCGACUGGCUCAAUGAGUCAGAGCUCAACAGACUUUGUCCCAACAGACCAGUCUAUGGAUAACCUUAACGCGUGGAGCUCUUUAACGAAUGCGAACUAUAAAGGAUGUUACUAAUAAACAUAGAAGCUCUCGGUGUCAAAGUUUGUGAGCAUCGUUUGGACUGGUUAGAAUCCCUAGACAUAGAAUUACUUCACCUGUAGAGGUCGUCACCUGGUUGAACCAGGCAACGAUAACGCCUGAGACAAGGAGAUGACGUCUUAGAACUGAACAGACCUACGCUAGAUAGACCAGUAUAGGUAGUAAGUAAGAGGGCUGAGGUAAAAGAUCGUUGUUAGUUGGAGUCCCGUUUAUCAUAAAGACUCUAAGGAAGUAAGAAGCGUCUUAAGAGAAAGAAUUGGAGAAAACAGAAGAGUCGUUUAAUAAACGUUCCUGUCAAAGGUUGUUUCUAGAAGGACGAUUUUUUAGAGUGUAUAGAACUACACAGGAUGUUGGGGUCUGAAAGGCACGUUGAUGGUCUAAAGGGUGGUCCUUUUUUAUAAAACCUUGUGAAUCUAGAUCUCCUCUGUUUGGAAAGAUCACACUACGGUCUGAGAAAACAAGUAGAGUUCAGUGACUUUAAGAACCCGGAAUCGUUGUAUCCUAGAGGGUCCGUCUGCAAAUGAAGGUAACGAUUGGAAUGUAGGGAUUUAUGUAACACCGACAGCCCUAGUCCUUAUCUCUUCGGUUACGAGAGAAGCUAACCGUCGCGAUCCGUAUACUGUCUGAACUACGAUGUUCUGAUAUUAAAUAGACCCGGUUAGGGCAACACCUAGUCUUUAACAUGUUUAAACUACUCGAAUCUCGAGUAACUAACGUUAAAUAGACCCCGUUAUGGGUGCACCUAACCCUUGAACUGGUUCGAAUGUUUAAACCCGAAUGUUCUAUUAUCCGACUCGCCAUUCCGUCGGAGGAAGGAAGAGUAUAGUGUAGUAAUAUUGUAAUAAAAAACCCCCAUAAAUGAUAAGAAACUGAUGAUAAGAGAUAGACGUACGUCCUUUUUAGGGUUUCCAAAACAAGUGAGAAGGCAGUAACCCUUUUGAUUUAAAUAAUAGUUUACUUGAUACACCAUGGGAUCUUCUAUAAGGUCUGGGGAAUAGAAGGAAGGACAUGAUGUAGCUGUAUUCGAGAUUGUUGAACAGUUCAGUAUAUGGGUUUAGAAAGAAACUAGAAUACUCUGAAGUUCAAGAGUACGAACUGAGUUUAGUGAAACUUCCGUGUCACCUUGAAUCGGAAGAAACCUUCCACUUCCGUAACCUAUAUAACGACGAGAGGUUAUUAUACAAUAGUCAGUAUCUACAACUCCUACCGAUAGGUAAAGGAAUAUAGGGUGUGUAGUGUUCUGAUCCUGAUCGCAGAACGAUGGAAUGUUUUUAAGGUCAGCGUAACUCUAUAUGUUUACUCAACAAAAACAACCUGGAAAGUGUAUUGGUUUAUCUACCUCGGUAUGGUUCAACCUAGACCCACUUAACCUUCCUAUGGUACAGGACCGACCUGGAGAGUUUGUUAUACAAGUGAUCGGAACUUUUGAGAGGUAGACAGCAAGUAUACGUGUUAAAUCCUAUAGAGUUAGAAUCAAGGUUGUUUGACGUACCGUCACAUGGAUAUGGUGAGUGUCGAUCGUUAAGGUACCGAAAAAAUCUAAUGAGUUUGUUAUCGAAGUGAAGAUAAUAUGUACUGAAACCAGCCAUGGAAGGGAUGUUCUGGUGGAUGGAACUAAACAGGUCCUUAUUUAAUUCACCAGUGUAUGGUUCCAGAUAAACAUGGGUUGUUCUAGAACUCUAUGACCUGAAUAGUAUGUUGUUAAAGUCGCCACACCACGGUAGGACAGAUUACGUUCCAUCGUUAUCGAACUCAUGUAACUUUAACUCUCUCUUAGCAAAGGUACCCUACGACGGACUUUUAUAACCUCUUCCUACAUACGAAGUCUGUUAUCUAAACUUGUUGUUAGAUUAACUUCCCUUUUAUGGGUCUAGUGAUAGUUUAACGGUUCCGGAUCUUGAGAAACUACAACCAUUGUUAGUUUAAUAGCCAAGAAAAGGUAGAACCAACCCACAAGAAGGUGCAGAAGCUCAAGAACAGAACUCUAAGUUGGUUGAUUUGCCGUGGUAUUCCCUAAAAUUUCCGCUAGUAUGUUAGUUGUUGAUGAAACGUUUAAACGUUUAUGAACUAAACCGGAGGUUGUUGAAGAGACCUUUGGAUGGUCUUCCUACCAAAUUACUUGACUUUCGUUACUACCUUUUACAGUCACUACCCCCUCUUCAAGAUCCUGUACUCUGUAUAAGUCCACGUGCUAAAAUAGUUCUAUGACAAUGGUAUUGUAAGUUUCCCAAACUAGAAUCAAAGUGGUUUUAGAAUUCGUGAAAGUUACGUUAUCUAAAGAGUUUAUUGAGUAAACUACCAGGACAAGGCCUCAGUUAACCCUCCGAACAACGGGACGCGCCUGAAUUGUACAGUAUGUUGUUGAAGUACCCUGUUUAAGGUAAAGUCAUGUCUUUGAACAGAGUCGACCUUCGUUACCUAGAGAGAACCUUGGUCUAUUGUCCCCUUUAUGGUGUCCUCAAUUGGAGUGAAUGAAGAGAACUUACCAACUUAGAAAGCAUGUUGUUGAACAUACCUUCUUAGGGCGUUCCUUUGGUCAAGAGUUGUAAAAGUCUGUCAAGUAAACUUCCAUUACGUCCGGAGACACCUCAAGGUGAGAGGUUUGUGACACUGUUAGUUUCAAGUUAAAGAGGUUGACCUCACCGAGAAGGCCUUAGACUCCCAAACACCGUCCUGUUUGAGCCACAAUAGGAAAACAAGCGUAAACAACCGAACCCUAAACCUCAGCCGAAACGUAACAGUAAGAACAACGCUGACAUAACGGCGUACCUUCCUACCUAGACGUUCGUUCGUACUUAGGUAUACAUUAUUAUCUCGUGAAAAUGAUACAUGACAUAAGUCAAAAGAAGGACUUUUUUGUAUACGGCACACGUAUACCCAACAUGUAAAAAACUCCUACGUAUACCCAACAUGAACAAUCUACUCUGUCGAAUUUAUUCGGUGAAAAGACACCGUCUUCAAUUAAUCGACGAAGGAAAGCAACGUAACCUAACGGUUGUCACUAGUUGGAAUACCAUAUAUGUUAAUAAUGUGUAUUA
rnacentral:rRNA from 1 species